rnacentral:rRNA from 1 species
AGCGAACGCUGGCGGCAGGCCUAACACAUGCAAGUCGAACGAACUCUUCGGAGUUAGUGGCGGACGGGUGAGUAACAAGUGGAAACGUGACUUUAGGUUCGGAGUAACUUAGGGAAACUUGUGCUAAUACCGAAUGUGCCUAUCGGGGGAAAGAUUUAUCGGCUUUAGAGCGCCCCGCGUGUGAUUAGUUAGUUGGUGAGGUAACGGAUAACCAAGGCGACGAUAAUUAGCUAGUCUGAGAGGAUGGCCAGCCACACUGGGACUGAGACACGGCCCAGACUCCUACGGGAGGCAGCAGUGGGGAAUCUUGCGCAAUGGGCGAAAGCCUGACGCAACCAUGCCGCGUGAAUGAUGAAGGUCUUAGGAUUGUAAAAUUCUUUCACCGGAGACGAUAAUGACGGUACCCGGAGAAGAAGCCCCGGCUAACUUCGUGCCAGCCGCCGCCGUAA